GGCUUAAUGGUUUAGUGGUAUAAUUCUCCCUUAGGGUUGGAGAGGUCCUGAGUUCGAUUUCCAAUUAAGCCC